CCUUACCUUUCUCUCAUCUGCCUCCCUAGAGCAAGAGCCGUCAGAGAAGAGAGAAGGAGAAGAAGGCGUCACCGUCAAUCGAUCCGACAACUAGGCACCUAAACCUGUGCGGUACAAGGACCUAAAGUAGUUCCACUCAAGCAGCUAAGCAAAGAUUUUGAAGAAUAUGAAUUGGUUUACGUAGAAGACCCUGAGGAUGACUUUUAUUAGCAUUAGAUGAAUAGAAGUUGGCAGGCUAGUUACCUCUAGUUGCUAGACUUAUUUACUUUCGUUU